GUAAUUAUAGUUUAACAAAAACAUUAGAUUGUGAAUCUAACAAUAGAAGAUUAACCCUUCUUAUUUACC
ensembl:Mt_tRNA